rnacentral:sRNA from 1 species
UAUGUUUUUUCAUUGUUGGAAGGUAGAUAGAAGAACAAUAACUUGGAAUGUGGAGAAAGCGUAUCGAACGGAACAGAUCAAGCAUAUCAGGCGGAUCAAACGUAUCAGGCGGAUCAAGCAGCUUUUUAGAAAAGACGUUAAAUGAUGGAAAAAAUAACCAAAAAAGAUUGUGAGGAAGCUAAUGAAGAAGUUUAUUGGAGACAUAAAGUAUGACAAAUGGAAAAAGACUCCAAUUUUUUUCAUUCAGCUUCUAAAAGACGUGAACAAAAAAUCGAAUAUUUGGUUUAACAGAAUCAUGGUAAAAAUAGAGAUGAAUAUAAUAUUA